AAUGGCCGCGGUAAUUUGACCGUGCAAAGGUAGCAUAAUCAUUAGUCUUUUAAUUGUUGACUUGUAUGAAUGGUUGGACGAGAUAAUUACUGUCUCAUAUUUAUUUAUUGAAUUUGAUUUUUUAGUUAAAAAGCUUAAAUUUUUUUGUGGGACGAGAAGACCCUAUAGAUUUUUAUUAAUUAUUAAUAAUAUAUUUUUUAGUUUGUUUAUUUAUAUUAUUAUAUUUUUUUUUGUUGGGGUGACAUUGAGAUAUAAUUAACUCUUUAUAUUAUUUACAAUUAUUUUUGUAUAUUUGACCUUCUAUUAAUGUUUUAAAGAUAAAAAUACCUUAGGGAUAACAGCGUAAUUUUUUUUGAGAGUUCUUAUCGACAAAGGAGAUUGCGACCUCGAUGUUGGAUUAAGAAUACUAUAAGGUGUAGAUUCUUUAUAAUGUAGGUCUGUUCGACCUUUGAAUUUUUACAUGAUCUGA
rnacentral:rRNA from 1 species